UGUUGUAUAAAUAAAUAAGUUCAGGCAGUCCGCAGUUAGGGAAGCAUGUGUUGCUGAUAAAACAGAACCUGAGUCAGAGAGGGGAAAACGUCUAAAAACCUUACUGGAUACAAACAAGGCCCCUAACUUUCUUCCCUGUUGACGAUGAGCAGCUGCAGACUUGGUGGAUGUGACUUGUGCCUGAUACUGGCAAUGAUUCCAAGAUUCUAAACUUCUUAAGACUGGUGAGGAGUCAAGCUUAGGAGCUCUGGAAUAGAACCGGCCAAGGAUUCAAUAGAGACUAGAAGAGCAUUCUCAUGGAGACAAGAAAUUUAAGGGACAUUCCACUAUAAUGGAAACAGCAAGACUGUCUGUUCUGGAGUUUCUGCAAGAAGCUAUGAGCAGUUCCGCUGCUUUCAGAUUGAGUACACACCAUGUGAGCAACUUCACACUGCUCCAUUAGCCUAAAAAGCCCCUUCUUCCUCAUCCCACAUCUACCACCAGAGGCGAAAACAGAAUGCAGAAGCUUCAUCUCUGCCAGAAGCAAAUAUGAUUCUUCUCUUUCUUUCCCAUGUAUUUCCUGUAUGCCACAGGAAGAGUAGGAGGCUGAUGCCCCUACACAUGAAGUAGACUCCAGGGUUCCAAGAACUAGCUGAGCCCAGACGUCCAGAGCAUGACAGAAAAGUGGAAGUGAUGAUAAGAGGUACAGACAUCACAGAUCUCAGAAAUGCAGCUGAGAACCUGACCCAAGGGGCAAGAAUGAGCUCUGGGAUGGUUGAUUGCCUGUCUUUUGCUUCUUCCCUAUAAAGCCCGGCUGGCUGGAGAUGAGAUACAAGGCGGCCUGUUGUUUGUUUGUAGAAUGUUAGUUUCUGCCCUCUUGGACCACAAG